CAAAGAAGCACUUACCAACCUAAUCAAGCUGUGGGGGGAAGAGAAGAGAGAGACAAUUGGUGGGAUGUUGCCCUUGAGCAGUGUCCUUGAAGAAUGGAAGAGCAGCAGCAGGAAGGAGAGCUCCUGCUUGUUGCCCUCUGAAUUGAGGCUCACCAUCAACCUGAAGGGAUGUCUGUUGUGCCUCACGUAGUUCACAGUGUGCAUUCAGUAUCAGACUACAACCAGGUUACCAUAACUGAAAUAGGUGUAGCAACACAUGAAUGUCUUCCCUCUGAGAAAUGCACUGUACCAUUUUAUCAUCUGGUGCAAUAAGAUGCCAUCAUACAGUGAGAUCAUCCUUCUGAUCCUGUCCAGCCUGGAGUGGCCUGACAGUGCUGCUGACCUGCUGUGUGAAUGGGGAGACUCUGUGCUUAAUUCAGUGCUUCACCGGUCCUGGCUAGAUGUCACCAACAGCUGUGGAUUACAUGACACGUCCAGAAUAUGAUGAGGAAGAGUUUUAUUUCUUCAAGUUUUGUAUGUUAUAGGUAGAGAGAAACUAAAAAAAAAAAAAAGCUUUAAAUUCUCCUUAGAGACUUAUCUCAGAAUUGUUCUGUAUUUUACAGGAAGUCUAUCAGAUCCCUUUCACAGUUCUCAUCACCUUUGUUAUGCUCCUGAAACACUGCUCCAUUCCUCCCUUCCAAAUGUCUUCCUCCAUCUUCAGGUUAUUGCAGGGUGGCUACUGCAUAUUUUGUUGUGUGACUAAAUGCAGAUCCCUUCAAAGAUUAUCAAUGUUCCUCAGGCUGCUGGAAGGGACACUAAUGAGCAAUCUGUAUUUUUUUCCCUUGCCUCCUUUUUGUAAUCCUGUAUGAAGCAUGUUCACACCAUGCACCUCAUGCAGGAAUACAUUAUUUAGUACACAGAUAACUUGGUUAUCUGUGGAGCUUUGUGCUUCUUGUUCUGAGUGAGCCCCACUAUACAUCUUUCUGAGGUUUAUACUCAUGCUUGUUCCUUUAAAAUCUUCCCUGUCUAGACUCUUGACUCUUGAGCUAGACUCUGAUUGGGAACUGAAUGUAGCUAGAAUUCAGAUAAUUAGAUUUUUUACCUUUCCCCCCACCUGCUAUUUUUUUUUUUUGGGGGGGGGGAGGCAUGUUUCAGGAAAAAUGAAAGCCAAAAAUUAGAUCUAUAUUUAAGUAUUGUCACAGUAAGAAAAGUAGAAGAAAUCAUUAACCAUGGAAAAGAUCCGCACUGGCUGAAAUGUAUGGUGUUACGUGUGCUUGUACAGUCAGUACAAAACAGUGGUGCAUUGUCUUUGUUUCACGUUUGUUCGAACAGAAAAGCUGGAUUAUAAUGCUGAGAUAACAAUUGAUAUCCAAAUAAAUUGUUACUGAACCUUCA
rnacentral:lncRNA from 1 species